rnacentral:rRNA from 1 species
GACGAACGUUGGCGGCGUGCUUAAUACAUGCAAGUCAACUGAAGCAGUGGUAGCAAUAUCGCUGUGGAGGUGGCGCACGGGUGAGUAACACGUAGGUAAUCUGCCUUCAGGUCUGGCAUAACUCCGGGAAACCGGGGCUAAUUACAGAUGAUGCAGCGGCUCGGCAUCGAGACGGUUGUUAAGGCUAUGCCGCCGGAGGAUGAGCCUGCGGCUGAUUAGCUAGUUGGCGGGGUAACGGCCCACCAAGGCAACGAUCAGUGGCUGGUCUGAGAGGAUGAUCAGCCACACUGGAACUGAGACACGGUCCAGACUCCUACGGGAGGCAGCAGUAAGGAAUAUUGCUCAAUGGGAGAAAUCCUGAAGCAGCAACGCCGCGUGAGGGACGAAGGGCUUUUGCUUGUAAACCUCUGUAGUGAGAGAAAAAAAUCCCAAUCUUUGGGACAUGAUGGUAUCUCAAAAGUAAGCCCCGGCUAACUACGUG